rnacentral:lncRNA from 1 species
UCAGAGCAAAGGGGGGAGAAGACAAACCCUAACUUCAUGAAAUUCUCAAGAAUUGAAAGAGAUUAGGAGCCCAAACUAAUGCAUGAACUCGAAACCUCAAUCAUCUAAGCUUGUACAACAAGCGGAACGUGUCAAGGAGAGGUCAAGCAUAGGAGGAUAACGGGUCAAGAUAAGGCAAGAUGACAAAUACACUUAUUGGAGUACUCGAGGUAAGUGAAUUUCGAUUCACUUUUUAGUAGGU